CACGGGGGGAGCAAGCGUUGUUCGGAAUCACUGGGCGUAAAGGGCGUGUAGGCGGUUCGGUAAGUGGAAUGUGAAAUCCCUCGGCUCACCCGAGGACCUGCAUCCCAAACUGCCGAGCUUGAGUAUGGGAGAGGAUGAGGGAAUUCCUGGUGUAGCGGUGAAAUGCGUAGAUAUCAGGAGGAACACCGGUGGCGAAGGCGGAUCUCUGGGCCGAUACUGACGCUGAGGAGCGAAAGCGUGGGGAGCGAACAGG
rnacentral:rRNA from 1 species